GGUUGGAGAUGAACAUACAGC
rnacentral:miRNA from 1 species